CCUACGGGAGGCAGCAGUGGGGAAUAUUGCACAAUGGGGGAAACCCUGAUGCAGCGACGCCGCGUGAGUGAAGAAGUAUUUCGGUAUGUAAAGAUCUAUCAGCAGGGAAGAAAAUGACGGUACCUGACUAAGAAGCCCCGGCUAACUCCGUGCCAGCAUCCGCGGUAAUAACGAGGGGGCAAGCGGUAUCCGGGUUUAAUGGGGGUAAAGGGAGCGUAGACGGCAGAGUAAGUCUGAGGUGAAAGCCCGAGGCCUAACUGCGGGACGGCUUUGGAUACUGGCCGGCUAGAGUGCUGGAGGGGUAAGCGGAAUUCCUGGUGUAGCGGUGAAAUGCGUAGAUAUUAGGAGGAACAACAGUGGCGAAGGCGGCUUACUGGACAGUAACUGACGUUGAGGCUCGAAAGCGUGGGGAGCAAACAGGAUUAGAUACCCCAGUAGUC
rnacentral:rRNA from 1 species